UACAGAGGGUGCAAGCGUUGUUCGGAAUUAUUGGGCGUAAAGAGCGUGUAGGCGGCCCGGUAAGUCCGCUGUGAAAGUCCAGGGCUCAACCCUGGGAUGCCGGUGGAUACUGUCGGGCUCGAGUCCGGAAGAGGCGAGUGGAAUUCCUGGUGUAGCGGUGAAAUGCGUUGAUAUCAGGAGGAACACCCAUGGCGAAGGCAGCAAACUGGGCAUCAUCUGACGCUGAGGCGCGAAAGCGUGGGUAGCAAACAGG
rnacentral:rRNA from 1 species